GCCUCGGUGGCUCAGCCGGCAGAGCGAGUGAUUUGUAAUCACUAGGUCGCGAGUUCAAAUCUCGCCCGAGGCU
rnacentral:tRNA from 1 species